AUUGAACGCUGGCGGCAUGCUUUACACAUGCAAGUCGAACGGUAACAGGUUAAGCUGACGAGUGGCGAACGGGUGAGUAAUGCAUCGGAACGUGCCCGGUCGUGGGGGAUAACGCAGCGAAAGCUGCGCUAAUACCGCAUACGAUCUGAGGAUGAAAGCGGGGGACCGUAAGGCCUCGCGCGAUCGGAACGGCCGAUGUCAGAUUAGGUAGUUGGUGGGGUAAAGGCUCACCAAGCCAACGAUCUGUAGCUGGUCUGAGAGUACGACCAGCCACACUGGGACAGAGACACGGGCCAGACUCCUACGGGAGGCAGCAGUGGGGAAUUUUGGACAAUGGGCGAAAGCCUGAUCCAGCAAUGCCGCGUGAAGGAAGAAGGCCUUCGGGUUGUAAACUGCUUUUGUACGGAGCGAAAAGGUCUCCUCUAAUACAGGGGGCUCAUGACGGUACCGUAAGAAUAAGCACCGGCUAACUACGUGCCAGCAGCCGCCGUAA
rnacentral:rRNA from 1 species